UGCUGUAAUGGCUCAGAAAGAAGUCCCCUUCUCCUCCGCGUCCCCGUCCCUUUUCCAAAUCUGUCAGAGCGUUGCCCAGUCCGAACCCGGUGUCGACAAUUCGAAUCCCGGCAUGAGUAAUCUCCGGUGUCUACUUCGAGUCCGAAGAACGCGCGCAAAUGUUCAGCCCGGCAACGGGGCAGACGAGCCGCGGGCAUGGGGUGGCGGUGUUGGAUUACAGCUGCUUUGAUGGCGGGAUGGGAGGUGUGGAGGGUUGGUUGGGGAUGACUUUUUU
rnacentral:SRP_RNA from 1 species